GGCGCGGUGGCGGGUGCCGUCCCUGCUGCGCCGCGCACGGCUCCGGGCUCGGACCCUGCGGUCUGCGCUCUCCUCGGCGCUUACUCUUCGGCUGUUUCGCUGGCUGAACCGGAGGCGAAAACCGUGCGCGGAGGAAGUCUUUGGAGCCAGCCCUGAUGGCCUAGUGGUUAAGGUUUGGCACCCUCUGCUUUGGCGGUCCAGUUUGGUUGCAACCACACCACCGGUCUGUCAGUAGCCAUGCUGUGGCUGUGGCUCACACAGAAGAACUAGAAGGACUUACAACUAAAAUGACACAAGCAUGACAUCAUUUGGAUUACUUCACUUUGAAAACGGAGAACUUCAAGAAAUGCAAAAGUGUUCUGCCUAAAAUUGAGAUUGGCACAGGUGACAUGAUGAAGUUUUCAUUUUGUUAUAGGAUAAUUUUUUGUCCAUUAUUUCCAGGAAGGAUAAAUCUUAUUUUGAGAUAGUUGUAAAACUUCUCAACUUAUAUAAUUUGAAGUCACAACAUCAAAUAUGAUUAAAAAAACAGUCACACUGGGCCAGCCUGGUGGCUUAGCGGUUAAGUGCACGCGCUCUGCUGCUGGCGGCCCAGGUUCGGAUCCCGGGUACACACUGACGCACCUCCAGCCAUGCUGAGGCCGCGUCCCACAUACAGCAACUAGAAGGAUGUGCAACUAUGACAUACAACUAUCGACUGGGGCUUUGGGGAAGUAAAAAAGGAGGGGGAUUGGCAAUAGAUGUUAGCUCAGAGCUGGUCUUCCUCAGCAAAAAGAGAAGGAUUAGCACGGAUGUUAGCU